GGUGGUGGUAGCUCAGUGGUUAAGACGUUGGACUACUGAUCAGAAGGUCAUGAGUUCAAAUCCCAGCACCACCA